rnacentral:lncRNA from 1 species
CUGAAGGAGAAACUGAGUCCCUGCGAGCCUAGGCUCCCUCAUUGUUAUACAUGGAGCUGAGACCCAAAAAUGCAGGCCUUCUGUAUUCCAGUGGUCACAACCAGAGGAGUUUAAGUUACAUCUUGUAGCUGAGUUGAUUUUUGGGGGGAACGGAGUGGUACUAAACCCCCUAAAAGAUUCGUGUGUAGGUAGCUUCCUGGUUGGGCAUCUCACUGCUUUCAUUGUGAUCAGGGGACUGAUCUUCUCACUGUAGAAGUUUUUUUUUUUUAAUAUAUAUAUUAUUGCUUUUUAGGUUUUGGGGUAUAUAUGCAGUUUUAAAGGAAAACUGGAUACUGUCGACUCAGAAAUUGCCUCUUUUUUGGAUCAAGGCAAGGGUCAGGCUGUGUCACCCAGCCUGGAGUGCAGUGGUGGAAUCACAACUCACUGCACCCUCAACCUUUUUGAGCUCACGCCAUCCUCCUAUCCCAGCCUUCCGAGUAGCUUGGACUACAGGCAUGCACCACCACACCUGGCUGUCUGGUAAGUUUUUAUUGGAUGCUGGAUAUUGUGAUUUUUAUGCAGUUGCUUGCUGGAGUUGUUGUAUUCCUUCAAACAGUGUUGAAUUUUGUUUUGGCAUGGAGUUAAAUGCUUUGGAAUCUACUCAGUCCUUUGGGGCUUGCUUUUAAAUUUUGUUGGGUCUGGUCCAGGGAAGCCUUUAUUCUAGGUCCAAUUUGCCCCCACUAUUAUGUCCAUGCAUUUCUAAGGAUUUUCCUCAUUAUCACAUGUAUUAAAUGCUCUUCCACUCUGGCUAGUGGGAACACAAACAUAUCCAGCACUGUGUAAGCCGUGGGAUAUGCUCUGAGUGCUCCUUUCUGAUGAUUCUUUCUCCAGUCCCAGUACUUUCCCCUCAAGUAUGUGUACACCAGUAAUCAGCCAGGCCCAGGAUGCUUUCUGGGUAGGCUUGGGCUUCCUCCCCAUAAUUCCAGCAGCCCUGCCCUCACUGGAUCCUCUGCUCCGUCUCCUCACCUCAGGGAGACCUCCUGACUCUAUGUGGGCUUCCCCUCCCUGUGCCACCUAGAACAUUUUCUAGGCACCACCACAACUGGGCUGUCUGCUAUGUUUUUAUUGGAUGC